GUGUGUGCAAGUGGGUAAUCCAAGAGUUACAAUAUAUUACGUACAUUUUCUUCUCUGGGAUACAUAUGCACCAAUGACUCCCACAGAAUUCUGCAGUGGAUUAUUUAAUUUAAUUUUUUUUUUAAUAUUGCCAGAAAAAGCUGUUUUCAGAAACAGGGCCUUCUCCCUUCAUCUGCAUCAUUACAACACAUAGUAUAUACUUUCCACUUGCGGCAGAAAAUACUGUUUCUUUAUGGUAAUAAUAGGCACAAUAUGCAUUUGUAAUUUAUACAGGGUGAAAAAACAAUUCUGUCAGCUUUUGAGGUCAGCAGAAGGCUUUUUUUUUUGGAAACUAUAGGCAAACAGAUGAAUUUCUACUUAAAGCUGUGCAUAAAAGGAAAUUACAGUAUGGGGUGCAAGGGUUAAAGUUGUGGGCAUGUGUCUGGAUAUAAACACACUCUGUACACUGUAGGUGAGGAACUUAGUUCCACAAAGGUGACUAAUCCCAAGGAAGACUACAUGCCGUAUUACUUCCACACUUUUCUAUUGCUGCGUUUUCACCUCUGUUUAUUUUUUCUUUUCCUAAAAGGAAACCUCUAUACUGCAGUGCAAAAACCACCCUCCGCACAGUCCAGAUGCCUUAGGAUUUGCUUCAGAUCUGCUGUGGGUUUCUAAUUUUGAUGUAAAACAUCACAGUGGCCUUAUGUGGAAGUUAGAAGAAUUUGGUUGCUUUUCAACUUGCCAAAAAUGAUUUGCUGCUUUGAUAGAUUUAAUCAGAUUUCGGACUGUGUGAGCAGAAGAAGAACCUUCUGAAAUAGAAAAAUAUAUGUAUAAGUACAAAUCUGAAUACUGAGUUCCAUUAAACCUGGGUUCCAAGAACCAAAAGGCAUAAUACAAACAAUAAAGGUGGUCUCCAGUCAUGUAUCCCUGUUAAUUAAAAUGUCUCAUGAUUUCAA